UCGAAGGUGGGGGUACGCGUCCAGUAUAGAUGUGCGCUCCCCAGCUGCUCAUUACUUGGUGCCACUUACCAAAGUGGAUGCCAUUGAUCGCGUGCAUUGAGCUUCUCUCAGCCGCGUGCUCUUGUUGUCAACUUGAUUCUAUUGGAUGUGUCGUUGUGACCUCAGAAACUGAGCUCAGUGAUCAAUUGGACGCUCUACAUGUUUAAUGAAGUCUAAUACUGGUCUGUCACCUUCUACAUCAUUGACAUGAUUCCACAGAUGCAGGUCCGCGUUUUCCUCAAUUGAGUGCUGUUUGUGCUGGAUCCUUGUCUCUGGAUUAUGGGACAUGUAAAAAUAAGCUGUCUGUUGAUUUGGUCAGUAUAACGAGUGAGCCUCUUGCUUUGUGGUCCAUGAGGACUAACAAUGGUUGAGAUGACUUAAAUUCUCUGCACCAAGAAGCUCACGCCCUCCAUAAACACGACAUACUUCUUCGCGUGCUUUGUUUCGCCAUUCUUGAUGCGAUGCUAAAAGGAGAAGGGCCCAAGUCAAAAGGUUGGCAAUAGUUUCCUUUCCAGCAAAGUAAAAGGCAAGAACCUGCAUGCAUAAAUGAAGCCUGAAAUCACAACCACUCGUCCAAAAUCAAGAAUAGAUUAUCACAAUACAUUUGAAUUUGUACACUAUUCAACAAGCAAAAUAAAACCCUUCCAGCUGAUUCUAGUGCAAAUGGCCUUUAGGAAAACGGGAUUGAACUGGCAGGGCAGGACCAGACAGAAUGGCAAGCUGUCCCAUGAGAGAGGGAGGACAGAAAUCUGGAAAUGAGAUGGGACAAAAACUGUUUUCUGUGAACAAAAAACAGUAUAAAUGAAGCUAUAAAAAGGAUAGUUUUGUU